rnacentral:rRNA from 1 species
UACGUAGGGCGCAAGCGUUGUCCGGAAUUAUUGGGCGUAAAGAGCUCGUAGGCGGUUUGUCGCGUCUGCUGUGAAAACCUAAGGCUCAACCUUGGGCUUGCAGUGGGUACGGGCAGACUAGAGUGCGGUAGGGGUGACUGGAAUUCCUGGUGUAGCGGUGGAAUGCGCAGAUAUCAGGAGGAACACCGAUGGCGAAGGCGGCGAUCUGGGCAGAUACUGACGGCUGGAGGUGACGAAAGCGUGGGGAGCAAACAGG